AUUGAACGCUGGCGGCAGGCCUAACACAUGCAAGUCGAACGAGUGGCGGACGGGUGAGUAAUGUCUGGGAAACUGCCCGAUGGAGGGGGCUAACUCCUGGAAACGGUAGCUAAAACCGAAUACCACCGGUUGUGCCCAUAUGGGAUUAGCUAGUAGGUGGGGUAACGGCUCACCUAGUCGACGAUCCCUAGCUGGGCUGAGUGGGUGACCAGCCACACUGGAACUGAGACACGGUCCAGACUCCUACGGGAGGCAGCAGUGGGGAAUAUUGCACAAGGGGCGCAAGCCUGAUACAGCCAUGCCGCGUGUAUGAAGAAGGCCUUCGGGUUGUAAAGUACUUUCAGCGAGGAGGCGUUACUCGCAGAAGAAGCACCGGCUAACUCCGGGCCAGCAGCCGCGGUAAUAC
rnacentral:rRNA from 1 species